rnacentral:rRNA from 1 species
UACGUAGGGGGCUAGCGUUGUCCGGAAUCAUUGGGCGUAAAGAGCGUGUAGGCGGUUCGGUAAGUCGGCUGUGAAAGUCCAGGGCUCAACCCUGGGAUGCCGGUCGAUACUGCCGGACUAGAGUUCGGAAGAGGCGAGUGGAAUUCCCGGUGUAGCGGUGAAAUGCGUAGAUAUCAGGAGGAACACCUGCGGUGUAGACGGCUUACUGGACCAUAACUGACGCUGAGGCACGAAAAGCGUGGGUAGCAAACAGG